rnacentral:rRNA from 1 species
UACAGAGGGUGCGAGCGUUGUCCGGCUUUAUUGGGCGUAAAGCGUCUGUAGGCGGCUUACCAAGUCUGAAGUGAAAGCAUGGAGCUCAACUCCAUCUCCGCUUCGGAAACUGGCAAGCUAGAGAAUGUUAGGGGUAAGUAGAAUUUCCAGUGUAGCGGUGAAAUGCGUAGAUAUUGGAAGGAAUACCAGAGGCGAAGGCGACUUACUGGGACAUUUCUGACGCUGAGAGACGAAAGCUAGGGGAGCAAAGGGG